UUCAAAUUCAGAGGUCCUGGGAUCGAUCAUUAAAAAAGUAAUUCAAAUUACCCCAAAGAGCAACUGAAUUUUUUAAACAUCUUUAUACAUCCAGCCAACAAAUUAAAAUGGUUAACAAGAAAAAAUACAAAUUCAGAGGUCUGGUAUAGAUGUUUAAA